rnacentral:rRNA from 1 species
GAUGAACGCUAGCGGGAGGCCUAACACAUGCAAGCCGAGCGGUAUUGUUUCUUCGGAAAUGAGAGAGCGGCGUACGGGUGCGGAACACGUGUGCAACCUGCCUUUAUCUGGGGGAUAGCCUUUCGAAAGGAAGAUUAAUACUCCAUAAUAUAAUGAACGGCAUCGUUUAAUAUUGAAAGCUCCGGCGGAUAGAGAUGGGCACGCGCAAGAUCAGCUAGUUGGUGAGGUAACGGCUCACCAAGGCGAUGAUCUUUAGGGGGCCUGAGAGGGUGAUCCCCCACACUGGUACUGAGACACGGACCAGACUCCUACGGGAGGCAGCAGUGAGGAAUAUUGGUCAAUGGGUGCAAGCCUGAACCAGCCAUCCCGCGUGAAGGACGACUGCCCUAUGGGUUGUAAACUUCUUUUGUAUAGGGAUAAACCUACUCUCGUGAGGGUAGCUGAAGGUACUAUACGAAUAAGCACCGGCUAACUCCGUGCCAGCCGCCGCGGUAACAC